GUGACUCUUCGAGAAGAACCAGACCUGUAAAGAUGUUUAUGUGGUGGUCCGCUGCUUUAUUUCUUGGAUGCCUUUUGUUGGGAACAGACGGGUGGCCAGCCAAGGAAGGAUACGACUUCAAGCCCUAUCAGCCUCUAGUAAGAUUACGCCACAAGCAAGAGAAGAGUCAGGAAAGUUCAAGAAAUAAAGGUAAGUG